GAGGACCCCCUGCUGGGCCUCCUGGUGGGCCUCCUGGUGGGCCUCCUGUGGAUUUCCUGGUGGGCCUCCUAUUGGGCCUCCUGGUGGGCCUGUUUCCUGGGAGCAACUUCAGAGAAGAGGGUGGGGCAGGUGGUGGCCUUCACUAAAAGCAGGUCCCCAGGUCCCACAGUUCCCCCUUUCACUGCUAUUCUGGGUUCCUCAUCUGGUGGCUCACCUGGUGGGGUGACCUGGACCCUUCCCACUGAGGAGUCUGAUCCCCUGGUCAUCAGGCCCUGCCCGGGCCAUGGCUACUGCAUCUGCCAUCAAAAUCGGCAAGGGAGUACUGAGUGAUGCCCAGGUGGGUCCUCUGCCUGCCAAAUAUGUCCCUCUCUGCCCCCGUCGUGUGGUGCCGAUGACCAGGGUCUUUUCCUGCUGGUCUCACCAUGAGAAGCCGGGUGACAGGUGAGCCCAGAGCUCUAGACCUGCGGAGCCAGAACCCUGGAGCAGAAAGCACCAACUCCCCAGGUGGACUAUGCACAGCACUGGCCAGCAGAGCCUCUCAGGUCUGUCCCACCUGAGGGGACGCCAAACCAACCACACAGCAGCAGGUGACGACAGCGUGUGCUGUCUGGGAGGGCCACCAUUCCCACACACCUCCGCACGCCUUCCAGGCCUCCUGUCCCUGUCAGGAGGUGUGACAUGCAAGGACUAGUGUACCCAGGGCUGGGCCUGCUCUUGUGCCUCCUGCACUGCAAGGUGGGUCCCCUGUCCAGCCCUGCGUGAGGGAGGGCCCACUCCUGUGGCCGAGAUCCUGGACUUCCAUCUCCCAUCAGGUGGGAUGUCACUCUUCCCUGUCAGUCCCAAUAAGCGCAAAUAAACCCUGGCAUCUCUCUCUCUCUCUCUCUCUCU
rnacentral:lncRNA from 1 species